rnacentral:lncRNA from 1 species
UUCACACGGUUUUCUGAUGCAGUACCAGUCAUCCAUCUUCAUGUGGCCAUCAUCAUUCAACAUGCUGCAAGAUAUCACAUACAUUAACUUCUAUCAAAAAAAUAAAAAAAUAAAAUUUGCAGGCACGCAUACAGCAAUACAUAUACAUAAACCAUGCACGCAUACAGCAAUACAUAUACAUUCCACAUGACAUGAGAUUCAACAUAUAUCUAAACCAAUUCAACAAUACCAUACACCAU